rnacentral:rRNA from 1 species
UACAGAGGUCUCAAGCGUUGUUCGGAUUCAUUGGGCGUAGAGGGUGCGUAGGCGGCGAGGUUAGUCGGAUGUGAAAUCCCAGGGCUCAACCCUGGAACUGCAUUCGAUACUGCCUUGCUAGAGUACUGGAGAGGAGACUGGAAUUUACGGUGUAGCAGUGAAAUGCGUAGAUAUCGUAAGGAAGACCAGUGGCGAAGGCGAGUCUCUGGACAGUUACUGACGCUGAGGCACGAAGGCCAGGGGAGCAAACGGG